UACCAAGACCCUGAAACUGAAGCAGCUGAAUGGAAUUCAGCCAUCAUUCAUUUUAUCAAUGCCAAUCACCAAUGCUAGCCAGCUAAAGUAUUUCCUAGAUGCAGUUAUAUAUGGAGGGGUCAAAGGUCAGAAUUACCCAGGAGCAGCUUUACUGUGAAGCCCGUUUUACCCUCCACACCUGCCCUGCAUCAUGUCCGGUAGCCCUGCCCUGCUCCCUCGGUCUUCCCAGCCAAUCAACUCCCAGCUUGCUGUUGUGUCCAUUUCCUCAUUAGUUCAGUUUAUAUUUGAGCUCUGAGCCCUUGAGUUUGCUCUGUUCCAUUCAGCCUGUUCAGUCAUGUCCUGUAUUCAGUUUUUUGCUCAGCUCAGCCAGCUUUUUGUUUUUCGCCCACACAUCCAAGAAUACAGAACUUAUUGUUCAGCCCUGCUUUUGCCUUCGGUCUCUGCACUUGGGUCUACCUGCUCCACUAUUCAUAACAAGUCUGGAACAUCAAACAAACUUCAUAGAACUGAACAUCAAACAGCAAAAACUUUUAAAGAGUAAGUAAUAAGUACAGCUUAAGGGAGAUGAGACCAGAGUCAAAAUGUCUGUACAUUUAUAUAAAUAUGCAUUUUUUAAAUAAUAAAUUUGCUGAUAUUGUAAAUGAAAAUUCAGCAGUAUAUAUCUAAAGCUUGGUCAGAUCCCCAAAGACAUGCUAUAUGGUGAGCUUGCUACUGGUACCAGACCUGCUGGAGGGCCUGUUCUCCAUUACAUGGAUGUUUGCAAACAAGACCUGAAGGCAUGCAACAUCAACCCAGCAGGCUGGGAAUCUGUAGCUGCAGACAGCAACAGAUGGAGGCUCACCAUCAAAUCAGGCAUCUAGAAGAGCGAGAAGAGAAAGGACCUGUGGGAAGAAAGAGAGUGCAGACAACAAAAGGCGGAAUCAGCACCCACAGAGUCAGCUGUGCACUACGCCUGCAGAAACUACAA